AUUGAACGCUGGCGGAAUGCUUUACACAUGCAAGUCGAACGGUAGAGGGGGCAACCCCUUGAGAGUGGCGAACGGGUGAGUAAUAUAUCGGAACGUGCCCAGUCGUGGGGGAUAACGUAGCGAAAGUUACGCUAAUACCGCAUACGAUCUAAGGAUGAAAGCGGGGGACCGUAAGGCCUCGCGCGAUUGGAGCGGCCGAUAUCAGAUUAGGUAGUUGGUGGGGUAAAGGCUCACCAAGCCAACGAUCUGUAGCUGGUCUGAGAGGACGACCAGCCACACUGGAACUGAGACACGGUCCAGACUCCUACGGGAGGCAGCAGUGGGGAAUUUUGGACAAUGGACGCAAGUCUGAUCCAGCCAUUCCGCGUGCAGGAUGAAGGCCCUCGGGUUGUAAACUGCUUUUGUACGGAACGAAAAGGUCUCUCUUAAUACGGGGGGCUCAUGACGGUACCGUAAGAAUAAGCACCGGCUAACUACGUG
rnacentral:rRNA from 1 species